rnacentral:lncRNA from 1 species
AUGCAGAUUGGAAUACACAAACAGGAGUCUGAGGAGAGGAGAGUGAAACAGCCGGCCCUAGUGAGCGUGGCGAGAGGAGCCAGCGCGGGGCCCUGGAGGAGCGUGGGGAGAGGAGCCAGCGCCGGGCCCUGGAGGAGCGUGGGGAGAGGAGCCAGCGCGGGGCCCUGGAGGAGCGUGGCAGGAGGAGCCAGUGCCGGGCCCCUGGAAGAGCGUGGCGAGAGGAGCCAAUGCGGGACCCUGGUGGAGCGUGGCGAGAGGAGCCCCCACUGGGCCCUAAUGAGCGUGGUGAGAGGAGCCAGCGCCGGGCCCUGGAGGAGCGUGGCGAGAGGAGCCAGCGCGGGGCCCUGGAGGAGCGUGGCAGGAGGAGCCAGCGCCGGACCCUGGAGGAGCGUGGCAGGAGGAGCCAGCGCCGGGCCCUGGAGGAGCGUGGGGAGAGGAGCCAGCGCGGGGCCCUGGAGGAGCGUGGCAGGAGGAACCAGCGCGGGGCCCUGGAGGGGCGUGGCAGGAGGAACUAGCGCCGGGCCCUGGAGGAGCGUGGCGAGAGGAGCCAGCGCGGGGCCCUGGAGGAGUGUGGUGAGAGGAGCCAGCGCGGGGCCCUGGAGGAGCGUGGUGAGAGGAGCCAGCGCCGGGCCCUGGAGGAGCGUGGUGAGAGGAGCCAGUGCCGGGCCCCUGGAAGAGUGUGGCGAGAGGAGCCAAUGCGGGACCCUGGUGGAGCGUGGUGAGAGGAGCCAGCACGGGGCCCUGGAGGAGCGUGGCGAGAGGAGCCAGCGCGGGGCCCUGGAGGAGCGUGGUGAGAGGAGCCAGCGCCGGGCCCUGGAGGAGCGUGGCGAGAGGAGCCAGCGCGGGGCCCUGGAGGAGUGUGGCAGGAGGAGCCAGCGCCGGGCCCUGAAGGAGCGUGGCAGGAGGAGCCAGCGUCGGACCCUGGAGGAGCGUGGCAAGAUGAGCCAGCGCUGGGCCCUGGAGGAGCGUGGCAGGAGGAACCAGCGCCGGGCCCUGGAGGAGCGUGGCAGGAGGAGCCAGCACAAGUGA